UAUGGGAAAAGGAAUAACAGUUCUUUACCAUAAUAUAUCUGUAUAACAAGGCAGACCAACAGCCACGAGGGCAGCAGAAGGAGCAGCAGCACAAGCCCAGUGACGCCUUCUCUGGGCCGCAGGCACUUUCCCCUCCGGUGCAGUUCCGGGCACAGCCGGCAGGGGGCGCUGGUGGCUCCCGGCCAGGCAGGGCGGGUGCGAUGAUUCCCCCACGCCGGCAGGGGGCGCUGUGGCGCGGGCCCGGCCGCCUCUCCCCACACGGGCAAUGGCCGCGCUGCCAGCGGGAGAGACAGAGCGGGGCUUCAAACACACAAACUCACAGGGGGCAGCUGGUCCCAGUGCCCCUUCCGAUGGCUAAAUGGGCUGUAGCAAGAACUGCGAAGUAGCAGGCUGGAACUGCAGAGGUUGUUCCUUCACCAAAGAUGUUAUGGUUUUCUCCUAAUUCUUCAUGUCUGCUUUGCCUCGAAACUUUUGAGAAAAAUAUCAAAUAGACACCAGGCCAGUAUAAGUAAGAUGUGUACUGACUGUUUCCUGAAGGAAAUAUUACAGUUCUCAAUUCCUGUUUGCUUUUUGGAGACUAGGUAUUCUCCUGAAGUGGCAAUUUCUCCUUUGAACUCCAGAGAAGUACCCCCUUGAUUCUGAGUAUUUCAGGCUGCUUAGGUAAGCGAAGUCACUUCUAAACCCACUCAAUAGCUUCAUGGCAGUUUGUAGGCUUUAAAGUGAUAUCAACAAGAAACUGUUUUAAAAGUAUACACUGUGUACUCUACAUUACUGACACCAGAGAAGUUGAAGUGCUGUCAUUCAUGGUGUUUUGUUACUUCAUAAUGUUCACAGUUCCCUCCCUGUAUCUAACCCUGCUGCAUGGCUCCUGCUUCAACACAUGCUAAAUGGAUUACACCAGAAGACCCUACACCUCAUACAGUUUGGAGGUAGUAUAUUACUGUGAGAAGCGAAGAUCACUUCUAAAAAAUUUUAAAAGUGUAAUAAUAGAUAAAAGGGACAAUAACAGCACUGAGUGCAUGGCCAUAGCCAGAGGAAUGCCGGCUAAUCAUAGCAGCUCUUAUAUACUUAUUCUAUUGCAUUGAUCAAAUACAUAUUCAUAAA